rnacentral:misc_RNA from 1 species
CCAAUAGCGUAUAUUAAAGUUGUUGCAGUUAAAAAGCUCGUAGUUGAAUUUCGGGAUUGGCGCAUCGUUCGUGCCUUACGGGGUAUGAACUGGUGCAGUCAAUUUCUCACCUUCUGGAGAACCGCGAUGUCCUUAAUUGGGUGCCGCGGGGAACCAGGACCUUUACUUUGAAAAAAUUAGAGUGUUUAAAGCAGGCAUUUUUGCUUGAAUACAUUAGCAUGGAAUAAUAAAAUAGGACGGCAUGGUUCUAUUUUGUUGGUUUCUAGGACCACCGUAAUGAUUAAUAGGGAUAGUUGGGGGCAUUAGUAUUCAAUUGUCAGAGGUGAAAUUCUUGGAUUUAUUGAAGACUAACUACUGCGAAAGCAUUUGCCAAGGAUGUUUUCAUUAAUCAAGAACGAAAGUUAGGGGAUCGAAGACGAUCAGAUACCGUCGUAGUCUUAACCAUAAACUAUGCCGACUAGGAAUCAGACGAUGUUAAUUUUUUAAUGACUCGUUUGGCACCUUACG